rnacentral:rRNA from 1 species
UGUGCGAGACCGAUAGCGAACAAGUACCGUGCGGGAAAGAUGAAGAGAACUUUGAAAAGAGAGUUAAAGAGUACCUGAAACUGCUGAAAGGGAACCGAAUCGUUUCCAGUGUCUAUAAUCUAUGGCAUAUUUCAUUGGCGUGUGGGUGUGUACAGCGUUUUGGAAGUAGUUUUCUGCUCCUGUCGUUGUUUUGCGCUCGCCUGCUGGUGCCCUGUGCUGUAGUGGGACGUCAGAGUCAGUUUGUAUGCUGCGGGAAAUGGUUACUGGGGAGGUAGGUCACUUCGGUGGCUGUUAUAUCCUGGUAACUAGUCGUCGUGGCUGAGACUGAGGUGCCUACAACGCGCUUUCGAGUCUGCGAGCUUCUCGUGUGGCUGUUUGCUUUGAUAGCUUGCUAUGUUGGUGAAUAAGUCAUGCGAUUGAGACCUGUAGUAACUUGUUGCUGUUCGGGACUUUGAA